CUCUCUCUCUCUCUCUCCUUCUCUUUCUGGUUGUUUGUAUAGAUGGAUAGAAAAGUUAUCAAAUUAAAAAUCAACAUAUACAUGUAGAAUAAUCUGAUUAUUGUGUAGGAAUUCCCUUAAUGUGAUUUAGUAUAUCACUUUUUACAUAACUUGAAUAAUCUGAUAACUGCCAAAAUCUGUUAGAAUUCAGAUUACUAUCAUGCAUGUAAAUGAUUUAGAAAGUGUCCACACUUCUGGGAGAUACUGACAUGUUUUUUUGUUGUCAGGUCGACAACAAUUUUAUUAACAGAGUGAGUCUGGUCAAGAAAACCACCAUCAUCAAAAUUCUGUCUGGAGCUCUAGUUAUUAACAAUAAUUCAAGAUGGAAAAGGCUGCAACUGCAGAUGAAAAGAAUUUUACAGGUUCUUGUACAAUGUCUGUUUUCAACACAGCCUAGUCCAAGAAUGCUUUUUAGCAAAUCCUACAGAGCAGAGAGGCAGACAUACUCCAAAACCCACAAGGUUUCAUCAGGCAACACCAAAAGCAUGAACGAGCUUUAGGACACAGGCUUCGCCAAUACCCUUGCUCUACUCAAAACAUGUCCAUACAAAGUUACAAAGCAACUGAAGACUUGGGAAGUACAGCUCAGCAUGUUCAAGCUGGAUGGAUCACAGGGAGCUACCGCCACAGGAAAACAGUGCAUAAGGUGAGCAGACAACUUCCAAGAACCCAACCGUACAAGCAGAGUGAAGCGUGAAGUACUUCAUUUGUUGAAAUCCUGCUGAGACGAGGCAAAGCUCCCCACCACAGCUGCUCCGUGUGGGAGAAAAGGACUGCGACGUCUGAUGACCAAAACAGCUGAUUUAACAAACUCAAGCCAAGGAUAAAAGAGUGAAAUACUGAACAGAAAACAAACUGCCUGAAAAUAACAUCAGAGACCACAGAGGAGACUUCCUCUGGACUGGAGAGGGAAGGGAGAGACUGAUAAGAGAGAGAAACGACACAGAGAGUCUCUCCUGAUACAGUAAGACUAUAUGACUAUAGCUAAUCAUACAACCUUGGCCUCUUUCACUUGUUGCUGCAUCCUUAAACUGUGAAAGUUAAAUAGAAGAUAAAUAAGGAAAGUAGAAUAUAUUAUGAUCAGGGCAUUGAUAGAGACAUUGGACGUUAUUCUGUCUUUCAGAUCUCCAGUUUUGUAAAUUUUACAUAAUAGUAUGUAACAGAAACUGUUCCAAAACACAUGAACCAAUGAAAAAUAUCACGUAAGCUUUGAUAAACUAACACUGUGAAUAGAGUGGUGAAUAAUAAGAAAUAAGAACUAAUUAAAAAAUGCUUUAACGUGGCACUUUCCUCACAGAUGGCAAUAUGAUCAUAUUAUUUAUUUGUAGAAAACAACAUAAAAUUGCAGCAUAUGCAAAAUGAAUGUUAGGCUUUAUACUUGCUCUUUCUUUCCUUAUAAUAUAAUGGGCAAUUUAAUUAGAAUGUCAGAUUGUAUGCUUUAGUUGACUUUUUUCUUAUUCCUUUUUUCCCCAGUCUACCACAAAGACAGUAUUUAGGUGCUGUAAGCCAUAGAAACUAAAAUUUUAAGAACUUCAAAAACAUCUAUCAUCCCAUAAUUGCUGGAAGAGUUUAAACGAUGUUUAAAAUAGAAACUUUUUAUUUUUUAAAUCAUCCCUGUACUCAACACUUUCCAAAACAAAGUUACACCUAUUUGAAUUGGGGUGGGGGGGUUGCUGACCUCAGCAGAUACAAUUACCUUCCAGCAAAAUGGCUAGCAUGGAUCAUAAAACUAUUACCUCAUCGUUUACCUACAGGUUGUUUUCUCUAUCAUAAAACAGAAUAUGUAAGCAAAAUAACAUGGAUCAUCUGAUAAACAAAAACCUCAUGGUAAAAGAGAGAGUUAUCUAACUUACACCACAAACUUCUAGAGA